rnacentral:tRNA from 1 species
CAUUAAGUGACCGAACG